rnacentral:rRNA from 1 species
GACGAACCGUGCGAACGUUGUUCGGAAUCACUGGGCUUAAAGGGCGCGUAGGCGGCUUCGCAAGUCCGGGGUGAAAGCCUCCAGCUACAACUGGAGAAGUGCCUUGGAUACUGCGGGGCUCGAGGGAGGUAGGGGUGCGUGGAACUUCCGGUGGAGGCGGUGAAAUGCGUUGAUAUCGGAAGGAACGCCGGUGGCGAAAGCGACGCACUGGACCUCUUCUGGACGCUGAGGCGCGGAAAGCCAGGGGAGCAAAGCGGG